GAUAAAGAUUAAUGGUCUUAAACUGUGCUAUGGGUGGGAUAGUACAGACAUUAGAAAAAAUGUUUAAAUUGUAGCACUACAGAAGCUUGUCUUAAACAUGAACAAGUCAUGUUAUUUUCAUAGCUUGAUGUAAAUGAGCAUGCUAACAGCCCUUCUGUCAAAAACAAUGCAAAUAUGACAGUACCUUGAGAAAGGAUUUAAAAGACCACCUCUUGAUAAUUUUUCCAGGUCUACAUGUUUUUUAUGAAUAAUAAGGUGUCACCAUUAUUUAUGUUCCUCUUUUAAGUACUAGAUCAGUGCUUUCUUCCCUCCUUCACUGAAUGUGAGUAGGAUUGUAGAAAUUGCUCCCUUUGCCUGUAGUAAUCCCUGACAGUUGUAAUCCAUAUAGAAUCUUGGCCAUUAAAAUUUUAUCCAAAAACAAUCAACAACAACAACAACAACAACAUCUUAUUCCUGUGUCUUUGCCCUUAGUUAUGAUUAAGUACUGAUUCCAGACAGCCUAAGGCAGAGUUGUGUCUAUAAAUUGGUUCCAGAGAGACUAAGGUAGAGCUGUGGCUGUAACUAGUAGUGUCAAAGGAGGGAAGAUGACCAGAACUGCUGUCCUUGCUUGACUUUGACUUUUGUGCUCAAGAUGGUUUCUAUCCUAGCUCCUACAUUAAUUUUUUGUUUGUUUGCUUGUUUUUGACAAAAGCUAACUGCCCUUUCUCUAGGUAAAUAUUUUAUUCUGUACCCUGAUUCAGCAAUGGGGUAAAAGUCUUUCUCAGAAGGGUACAGCAGUCCCAGGGGACUUCCCUGAAAAUCACUCUGUCACUCUCUGAGCAGGACAAAUAUUUACAGAGGGAGAAUAUCACAAGCCCACUACAUAAUAACCUUCUGACUUUUUUUUUUUUUUUUUUUUUUUUUUUUUUGGUGUUGAAGAUCAUGUUGGUUUAAUCAGGGACUUACAGAAAGUUCAUGUUAAUAUUUCAUUAAAUACAUCCACAGCUCAGGGCCUGUCCAGGGUUUUUCCUGUUUCCAGAAACAUUCUCAUCCCUCUGUGGAAGACAAGGUUCCCAACAGUUUCCUUGAAUUACGCUGACAAUGUCAAAUACGAAGCAAGUUUUUUUCCUGGUCCUGUUAUAUUUAACAGAAAUAUGUUCCUGUUAAACAGCGUGC
rnacentral:lncRNA from 1 species